rnacentral:misc_RNA from 1 species
GGCAUAUCCAACGACGUCGACUUCCUUGAUCCAGCCCUAAAGUUACAACAAAAAACAAGUUGGAGCAGGAUGCUGGUCGCAGCCAAAUCCCAAUUAAACCCCAGGCAACAGCCUCCUCCCCGGAGCUAAGUUUUUAGAAGACUUUCCGGUCGUGCUUCCCCAACUGUAUCAUCUUCCCUUCAUAGUUUCAGUAGAGAUGGUGAGCCAAAGACAGAGAUUAGCCCGCAAGCGAUACAGAGAAGCGCACCCGGAGCUAUUCCCUAAACCAGAGCCAACACCACCAAAAGACCCCGACAAGAAGAAGAAAAAAAAUAAGAGCAAGUUCAAGCGAGAAAGGUCAGAGUACAAAGAACCCAGAGAUCCAAAUGAGCCCAACGAAAAGAGGUUUAAAAAACACCCAUUUAGGGUCCCUGGCAUGAAGCCGGGUGAAAGUUGUUUUAUUUGCAAGGCCAAGGAUCAUAUUGCCAAGCUUUGCCCUCAAAAAGCAGAAUGGGAAAAGAACAAGAUAUGCUUGCUUUGUCGGCAGCGAGGGCAUAGCCUCAAGCGUUGCCCUAACAAGAAGGACGAGACUGUUGAUAAGAAAUUGUGCUAUAAUUGCGGGGAAUCUGGGCAUUCGCUAUCUAAAUGUCCCCAGCCUCUUCAAGAUGGUACCUUUAUUUCUCAAUCUCUCCUCACUUCAAGAUAUAUUGUAAAUACAAAAAAUCUGGUGGUUAGUUUGUCUAGUUGCUGAGUUGUUUUGAUUGAUAGCUUGUUGGUGAAUACAACAUGAUAUUUCACCUUAUAAUUAGUGAAUUAGACAAUUUCAAGGUCUGCCUUAAACAUGAUUUUUUCUUCAUGACAGCAAUGACUUGCCAUUGUCAUACCCUUCAAACUGGAAAGAAAACUGUGAAGUUUUGGAGGAAAAAUAUUAUAGAUGAAUAUUGCAAAAUCUUUCUUUCCUUUUUCUUUCUCCCCCUAGGUGUUUGAUUUAGGAGUUUCAUUAAGGAGAUUUAACAGAUAAGUUCAAAUGGCUGUCUAAUGUCUAUGAACUUGAAAAAAAGGAAAAAAAGAAGGUUUCAGUUUUAUUCCAUUCUAUAGGACAGGGGAUAAAAGAAUAUGAGAUACUUAUAAUUACGAAUGCGAUAUUCCAAGGCUUACACCUUCUCACGUAUCUAAGUUAGUAAGGAGGCUUGAAGUACCUUGGUUACCUACCUCUAUGAUUUUGGGAAGUACAUUUAUCCUUUUUGAUAACUCAUUUGGGCUAAAGCUUAAUCUUUUGUUGUUUUAUGAAUCAUGAUUGUCUCUUUGGAAAUCCAGGGGGAACAAAAUUUGCCAAUUGCUUUAUCUGUAAUGAACAUGGACAUUUGAGCAAGGACUGCCCUCAAAAUACUCGUGGGAUAUACCCAAAGGUAUGUCAAACGCUACAUUUAAUGUUGAUGUUGUUAAAAUGCAGGCUGCUCUGCUCCUGGAAUGUGGGACUACAUGCUUAAUACAUGGAUGCUUACUGAUUUAAUUUUUCAGCUGAGUAAUCUGCACUGUACAUCCACUGAUGCUAACAUCUUGUAAAUAUGCAACAGGGGGGUUGCUGUAAAAUAUGUGGUGGUGUGACACAUUUAGCAAAACAUUGUCCUGACAAGGGUAAGAGAGACUCUCUUACCUCUGUUAAAGAAGGUAAGACGUACAAAUUUCUUACAGUUAUUGCCAACUUCCUAUUCAAGCAAUUUUGUAACUGGUGAUGAUAAAGUUAGCACAUAGGAUAGUGGCAUCUAGUUCCUUCAUAUGUAACAGCGACUUAACCUUUUUGUGGCAAAGAAACGCUAUUGAAUAUGAGAAGAUAUUUCAACAAGGAUAGCUUGGUUCAAGCAUAUAUGGUGUCUACUGACCUCAAUUUAACAUCAGGUUGAUAAGAUGUGUUCCUUUAUUUGAGCCACUUGGUAGAAAUGUUUGUCUCCUCGAUGACAUGUUAAUUACAUGUAAAUGUUAUCUUACAAUGGGAACCAAGAAAAAUGAUGGGGAAAAUAUUAAACUAGAGAAGGAUUUUGUACUAAUAGUCUGGAAUUUUUAUAAUUGCAAGCAAUAUUUUUGCAUUCUAUGAUUUCCUGCUAAAGCAUUAUUAACUGCUAGGAUGUUCCAAAUCCUUUGUUUUUGCUUAAUAUGGCAUGCCAGAUUUUCACUUAACCUUCUAUUCAUUUCAGCAAUCGAAAAAGGUGAAAGGCCAACUCCCAAGGUGACCAAGUUUGUAAGUGGGGAUGAGUUAGAUGAUGAUUUUGUGACAGAAAACACGAAUGGCAUCCAGCAAGAAAAGCCAGCGGAUUCAAAAGAUAGUCAUGCAGAAUCAAAGAAGAAGCAAGGGCACAGAGUGGUGAACUUCACAUGAUAGAAACUGCCUUGCGAUGAAUACCAUGAACUUUCUUUGAUCCGAGCAAUGACUGGAUAUACAGGAGUCUUAAAGAUCUCAUUUUCUUUCAAAUCUAUUUUUCUUUUUUCUCCUUUUUUUCAAUAGCAUUACCUACAGUUAAGAGAAAAUUGUUGAGUCUGUAGUGGUGAUUUUGCUAAUACCUUUUGUCCAAAAUCUUCAUAGUCCAAAAUUGACCGUUGAUCAUGUUCUCAUGCAGUGCAAAUCGUGGGGACAAUCUGGACAGGACAAUUGACAAUGAAAAUAAGUAUACUAACGGCUUCAUCAUUCUUGUAUGUUCAUGAAUGAGUAAUGAUUUCAAAAAAAUGCCAUAACCUUGGCUAUUUCUAUUUUUAUUUUUUCCUUCAUAAUUUAACAACUCAUAUGGAUAGUGCUUGAAUUAA